AAACAGGAAAGCGAGUUCAAAAUGUCAUGCAAACGGCGCCAUUUUACUAGGUUUGAAACGACGCUCUCUCACCGACCAAACGGCAGAUAGAUCGUCUCUCCCGUGUCGUAGAAACUGAGAAAUCAGCAAUGAGUGACAAAAUUUCAGGAAGUGAUCCUUCGGUAAUUGAAAUCGAAAGCAAUUUGGAUAGCGGUCGAAUCUCAGAUGUGAAAGCAUGGCUAGCCUCUCAAUACGAUGCCGCUGGCAAAGACGUCCCCGAUUUCGAAUACACUCCUCGAACCAUCGGUCGUCUCCACAACCUCUCAAGUCUCUCCCAAGCCAAAACCCAAGCUGCCGGCAUACUAGCCACCGAUUUCCGCCAAAAAGCCGCCGAAUAUCGUUGCCAAGCGGCUAGGGUUAGGGAGAUAUUGGAGAAUGUGGGAUUGCCACAAGAGGGUUUGCCUUCAAAUGUGGUUGCAUCAGCGCAGUGUCUUGCGAAUGUGGCAAAUUUGUUGAAUACAAAAGAUACUGAAUUGAGUAGUUUUCUUGUAGCAAUGGGGGACAUGUCUUUGAGGAAAUGUGAAGUGGAGGAGAAGAGGGCUAAAGUGCAGAAGGAGUCCAAAAUUCUUCUUGAUUACACCCGAAAAGCAAUUGCAAGGAUGACUUAUUUGAAAAGAAUUCUUGGACAGCUGGAAGAUGAUGUAGCUCCACGUGAGGCUCAGAUGGAAAACUGGAAGACAAACUUGGCAAUAAUGGCAUCAAAAGAGCGACAAUACCUGCAGCAAUAUCGUAACUAUAAGGCAUUACUUAAUCGUGUGGGCUACACCCCAGAGAUCAGCCAUGGGGUGUUGGUUGAAAUGGCUGAGCACCGGAAGGAUUUGGAGAAGAAAACAAAGCCCAUCCUUGAUACUUUGAGAAGCUACCAGGACUUGCCUCCUGAUAAAGCCUUGGCUGCUCUAGCCAUUGAGGACAAGAAAAGGCAGUAUGCUGCUGCAGAGAAGCGCCUUGAAGAUGUGUUGCAAUCAGCUCUUGCCACUUCUGAGUAACAUGCCAGAGCUUGUUCCUCCUGUAUCACAUGAGUCCCUAACACAUACACUCAGGUUGCUGUCUUGGCUUCGUCUGUCUAGCCAAGCUAAUGCAGGAUCUGUGUAUGGGGAAGAAGAUUGGUAGUGCUAGGGAGGUUGAUGGACUAUUUCUCUUAGAAGAAAAAAUGCAAGGUGGUGAAAUGAAAGGGGUGUAUCAAUCUGAAAGUAGUAUAGCAGAGAAUAAAGAAAUCUGGUUGUGGCAUUGUAGACUAGGACACCUUAGUUUCUCUUAUCUAAAACCGUUGUUUCCUAGUUUAUUCAAGAAUAAAGAUAUUUCUCAAUUUAAAUGUGAGAAUUGUGAGUAUGCCAAACACCAUAGGGCUUCUUUUCCCAUUCAAAUUUAUGAAAAAUCUUGUCUUUUCAUGUUAAUUCAUAGUUAUAUUAGGGGACCCUCUCGUGUUAAAACUAAUACUGGAGUUCGUUGGUUUAUAACAUUCAUUGAUGAUCACACUAGAGUGUGUUAGGUGUAUUUGUUGAACGAAAAGUCUAAAGCUGCUAGUGUGUUUAAACAAUUUCACAAGAUGAUCUUAAAUCAAUUUGAAACCAGCAUUAAGAUCCUUCACACAGAUAAUGGGAGAGAGUAUUACUCAAAUAUUCUAGGAGAGCAUCUACAAAAAGAAGGAAUCAUUCAUCAUUCAUCAUGUAUUGACACUCCACAACAAAAUGGAGUGUUGGAAAGAAAAAAUCGUCGCCUUCUUGCAGUUGACCAUGCCAUGAUGUUCCAAAUGAACAUUCCAAAGUUGUUCCAGGGAGAAGCUAUUUUGACAACAUCCUAUUUGAUCAAUAGAAUGCCAACCCAUGUCCUAAGAUAUGAAACUCCCAUAAAUACCCUAAAACAAUGUUUUCCUGCCUCUCAUCAUUUGUUUUCAUCCCUAACUCCUAAGUUUUUUGGUUGCACAGGUUGUCUCCAUAUUAAUGGCCACGAUCGUAGCAAGUUUGAUCCUAGGACACAUAAAUGCAUUUUCCUUGGAUAUCACCCAACUUAGAAAGGCUAUAAGUGUUAUCACCCACGAUCACAAAAGUAUUUUACAUCUAUGGAUGUAUCUUUCUUUGAGAACCAA